GAUGAACGCUGGCGGCGUGCCUAAUACAUGCAAGUCGAGCGAACGGACGAGAAGCUUGCUUCUCUGAUGUUAGCGGCGGACGGGUGAGUAACACGUGGAUAACCUACCUAUAAGACUGGGAUAACUUCGGGAAGCCGUAGCUAAUACCGGAUAAUAUUUUGAACCGCAUGGUUCAAAAGUGAAAGACGGUCUUGCUGUCACUUAUAGAUUGCUCCGCGCUGCAUUAGCUAGUUGGUAAGGUAACGGCUUACCAAGGCAACGAUGCAUAGCCGACCUGAGAGGGUGAUCGGCCACACUGGAACUGGGACACGGUCCAGACUCCUAAGGGAGGCAGCAGUAGGGAAUCUUCCGCAAAGGGCGAAAGCCUGACGGAGCAACGCCGCGUGAGUGAUGAAGGUCUUCGGAUCGUAAACCUCUGUUAUUAGGGAAGAACAUAUGUGUAAGUAACUGUGCACAUCUUGACGGUACCUAAUCAGAAAGCCACGGCUAACUACGUG
rnacentral:rRNA from 1 species